UACGAAGGGGGCUAGCGUUGUUCGGAAUUACUGGGCGUAAAGCGCACGUAGGCGGCUUUGUAAGUUAGAGGUGAAAGCCCCGGGCUCAACCUGGGAAUUGCGCGCGAAACGGGGGGGCUUGAGUUCGGGAGAGGAGCGUGGAAUUCCCAGUGUAGAGGUGAAAUUCGUAGAUAUUGGGAAGAACACCGGUGGCGAAGGCGGCGCUCUGGACCGAGACUGACGCUGAGGCGCGAAAGCGUGGGGAGCAAACAGG
rnacentral:rRNA from 1 species